GGGGCCGACAUCAUGGCGUAUCGGCGCCGGUCCCGCAUCAUCCAGAUGAUACACGACCACACCAGCAGGGCAAACGUCAGCCAGUUGUUAGAUCUCAGAUCGUUUCUGUGGCCAUCUUCCCAGGAACUGCUCGUCAUUAAGAUCAUAGGCUGAGGAAAGAGAGCACAUCAUGCUGUUACCUCCUCCUUAUCUCCUGAGAUGUACAUGACUCUGAAGAAGCUUGAAGGAUCAUCUGGGCUUUCUAUUGGACUGUCAGACUCUUCACCAUCAACAGUAUCCUGAGAAACACAGCAGCUAUUAAAAGCUUGUCAUCAGAGCCACCAGUGUGUAAUACAGCAGCAGCAGGACCAGUGGGUUGAUGAAGUCAGGCCAGAUGACAUGUGGUUGUAGACCAAGAGUGUACGGGUCUGAACUGUUGGUUCUGAUCACUCCUGUCAUACCAAACAACCUGGGACAGGAAGAGAGGAAGGAACAUCGGAUGAAAAAGGAGAGCGAGUGUGAACGGAGAAUGAGUGCAGAGAAGAACAACAUUAAAUAUUAACUUGGAACUUGCAAAGAAGAUAAAUCAGCCAAAAGGACAAUUUUAAUAAAGCCAUAAGAAAAAGGUGAAAACAGAUAAAUCUUUUUUUUCUGGCAAAAAUAUGUGCCUUUUCUCAGCUCCACAUCCUGUACUGUAUGAUGUAAAUGCAAACAUUUGAGCCACAGUUAAAAUUAAUGAAGGUUAACAGCCAGUAUUUCUGUUAAAAGUGUAUUGAUUACACAACAUUUUAUAUGACUCUUCAGUCUGGUGCAGUACUUUCACUGACACAUAAAUAUCAAUGCAAGAUGCAGAGUCAAAACUGAUGAACUUGAUGACCUGAUUUGGAUGAAUAUGCAUUGAAAUAUUCCCUUUUUAAAAUUUUCUGCUUGUAUUCAUAGUUUUGGAUUCAUCAUAUUUGUAACCAACAUGACAUUGUUGAUAUAUUUAAUAAAUGCACCAGAUCAAUCCAAUAUUUCAGUCUAAUUCUACUUUUCAACCACUUCCGUACCUGGCGUAAACAUCCUCU